rnacentral:tRNA from 1 species
GCAGUGGUGGUUCAGUGUUAUAAUUCUUGCCUCCCAUGCAGGAGACUUAGGUUCGAUUCCUGGCCAAUGUA